rnacentral:rRNA from 1 species
UACAGAGGUCCCAAGCGUUGUUCGGAUUCAUUGGGCGUAAAGGGUGCGUAGGCGGCGCGGUCAGUCGGGUGUGAAAUCUCGGAGCUUAACUCCGAAACUGCAUUCGAUACUGCCGUGCUUGAGGACUGGAGAGGAGACUGGAAUUUACGGUGUAGCGGUGAAAUGCGUAGAUAUCGUAAGGAAGACCAGUGGCGAAGGCGGGUCUCUGGACAGUUCCUGACGCUGAGGCACGAAGGCCAGGGGAGCAAACGGG